CACAUAUCACAUGACAAUGGCCUUUUUAUUUUACUCACAUGUACGUGAAAUCUAUGUAAAGAGCAAAGAAUGUGGAACCAAGGAGUCACAUGGCAAGAUCCAGACCCUCGGGGAUCCUUGAAUAUCAAUAUUUUAAUGUGGCCUGGAUACUUUUCAAGGUCGCAGGUGAACUUGGAGUUUUCACAUGGUGCUUGUUUUCCAUGAGUGAAAAAUCUGUGGGGAGAAUUCCACUAUGAUUUCCGCAGAGUCAAGUUAUGUAUAAGAGAUUCCCUCAGGAAGCCUCAUCGGGCUAUGCAUGAGGCUGUGAAGGUAACGCCAUAGCUGCAACAGACACCAGAGAAUCCAGGAUGUGGGAGAUGCACGAAUGUGGACCAGUUCUUGAGGAAACCAGCAGAUAUCGGAUGAAGCCAGUUCUGAAAGACACUAUGUAUUUCAGCUGACACCACCAUAGGACUGGGUCUGACAGAGCCCACUGGGACCCACUGAUAACACCCUGUGCUCCAGAUAUUGCCUGCCAGGCUGCAGUCUUGAUGCUUUCCUGGUUCUUCUGUCUGGAAUGAAGAUGUCUCCUUCGUGCAUUGUACAUUGGAAAUUUGUAACUUUCUUUUUUAUUUGAUAGAGCCUUAAAAUUAAGAGUUUGCCUUCAGUAUCAGAAAAUACUUUGGUCUUUGAGGUUUUGAAUUACAUUGAAACUGAUAAGACUGGGGCCUUUUGGGGUGUUUACAUCCUGAGAUGGCCAUGAGCCUAUGGAAACAACUGCAUUGUGCAGUUCGAAAGUAAAAAGACUCCUAGAGGUUUUGAAUACUUGUUCCCAGUUACGUGGCAAUAUUUUGGAAGGCUAUGGGGCUCUUAGAAAAUAGAACACAGC
rnacentral:lncRNA from 1 species